rnacentral:rRNA from 1 species
UACGUAGGGCGCAAGCGUUGUCCGGAAUUAUUGGGCGUAAAGAGCUCGUAGGCGGUUUGUCGCGUCUGCUGUGAAAACUCGAGGCUCAACCUCGGGCUUGCAGUGGGUACGGGCAGACUAGAGUGCGGUAGGGGUGACUGGAAUUCCUGGUGUAGCGGUGAAAUGCGCAGAGAUCAGGAGGAACACCAAUGGCGAAAGCAAGUAUCUGGACCACUACUGACGCUCAGCUGCGAAAGCUAGGGGAGCAAACAGG